GACGAACGCUGGCGGCGUGCCUAACACAUGCAAGUCGAACGAAGUAAGUUGCUUCACCAAGUGUUGAAUAGCUACCCCCAAGCGCAUUUGCCAAAGGGUAAGCAAAAAGUACUAUCAAUUAAAUAAAAUGGUGAAACAAAAGAAUAGCGAAGAAGAAGCAAAUGCGCUUCACGCUAAUUCCAAGUACCAACACAAAACAAAUUCAAUGUUUGGUGAAGCAACUUGCUUAGUGGCGGACGGGUGAGUAACGCGUGAACAAUCUGCCCUGUACAAAGGGAUAGCCUCGGGAAACCGGGAUUAAAACCAUAUAACACUUAACUGCCGCAUGGUAGUGAAGUCAAAUCGAUUAAGAGGUAUGGGAUGAGUUCGCGUCUGAUUAGCUAGUUGGUGAGGUAAGGGCUCACCAAGGCGACGAUCAGUAGCCGGCCUGAGAGGGUGAACGGCCACACUGGAACUGAGACACGGUCCAGACUCCUACGGGAGGCAGCAGUGGGGAAUAUUGCACAAU
rnacentral:rRNA from 1 species